CCGGGUUCUUCCCCCUUUUCUUUUUUUUUCUUUUCUGUUUUCAUUUUCCAAGACAUUUUCCAAAAGAGUUUUUGAAGCAAAAAUAAAAAUAGAAUCAGAGCAAACAGUACAUUAAUAACUAUGCCUCAGCAUGAAUGCAAAAUCACGUUUCUAAACUUAUGAUGAAUUUUAAUUUUCACAAAAUUAUUUAUUUGCUAGAUUGAAAUGCUCACAAAAAUACUUAA
rnacentral:lncRNA from 1 species